CCUACGGGUGGCUGCAGUGGGGAAUAUUGCACAAUGGGCGAAAGCCUGAUGCAGCAACGCCGCGUGAGUGAUGAAGGCCUUCGGGUCGUAAAGCUCUGUCCUCAAGGAAGAUAAUGACGGUACUUGAGGAGGAAGCCCCGGCUAACUACGUGCCAGCAGCCGCGGUAAUACGUAGGGGGCUAGCGUUAUCCGGAUUUACGGGGCGUAAAGGGUACGUAGGUGGUUUCGUAAGCCAGCGGUGAAAGGCUACGGCACAACCGGAGUAAGCCGUUGGAACUGGGAGACUUGAGUGCAGGAGGGGAAGGUGGAAUUCGUAGUGUAGCGGUGAAAUGCGUAGAUAUUAGGAGGAACACCGGUGGCGAAGGCGGCUCGCUGGACUGUAACUGACGCUGAGGCACGAAGGCGUGGGGAGCAAACAGGAUUAGAUACCCAUGUAGUC
rnacentral:rRNA from 1 species